rnacentral:lncRNA from 1 species
AAAAAUACAUUUACAUGUUUUGUAUUAGUAUAAUUACUUUUCGAACAAAAAUCAGAAAGUUGGAAGGAAAAUUCAGAUUAAAUAUAAGCAGUUUCUGCGAUAGAGGUUACAAUACUGCAUUGUCCCUUUUCCACGGCUUUGAUAUAUAUGUUUUCAUUUCAUAAAAUGUAUAAUUUAAAUUCAUAAUUUAAAGGACUCAAAUUAAUUU